AUUGAACGCUAGCGGCAUGCCUUACACAUGCAAGUCGAACGGAGUGUCGAACGGGUGAGUACUGUCUCGUAACGUGCCCGUUAGUGGGGGAUAACUACGCGAAAGCGUAGCUUAUACCGCAUACUAUUGGAGCGGCCGAUGGCGUAUUAGCUAGUUGGUGGGGUAACGGCUCACCAAGGCGACGAUCCGUAGCUGGUUUGAGAGGACGACCAGCCACACUGGGACUGAGACACGGCCCAGACUCCUACGGGAGGCAGCAGUGGGGAAUUUUGGACAAUGGGGGAAAGCCUGAUCCAGCAACGCCGCGUGUGCGAAGAAGGCCUUCGGGUUGUAAAGCACUUUUGGCAGGGAAGCGGUACCUGAAGAAUAAGCACCGGCUAACUACGUGCCAGCAGCCGCGGUAAUAC
rnacentral:rRNA from 1 species